GUGCUCUCUUUGGCAGCACAUAUACUAAAAUUGGAACGAUACAGAGAAGAUUAGCAUGGCCCCUGCGCAAGGAUAAAAGGGAUUUCUUUAAAUUGAACUCAUUGUU